AGAGUUCGAUUAUGGCUCAGGACGAACGCUGGCGGCGCGCCUAACACAUGCAAGUCGAACGGAGAAAGAGCAAGCUUGCUUAUUCUUUCUUAGUGGCGGACGGGUGAGUAACACGUGAAGAACCUGCCUUACAGAGGGGGACAACAGCUGGAAACGGCUGCUAAUACCGCAUAACGCUAGAGUGUGGCAUCACAUUUUAGCCAAAAGAGCAAUCUGCUGUAAGAUGGCUUCGCGUCCGAUUAGACAGUUGGCGGGGUAACGGCCCACCAAAUCUACGAUCGGUAGCCGGACUGAGAGGUUGAACGGCCACAUUGGGACUGAGACACGGCCCAG
rnacentral:rRNA from 1 species